GAUGAACGCUGGCGGCGUGCCUAAUACAUGCAAGUCGAGCGAACAGACGAGGAGCUUGCUCCUCUGACGUUAGCGGCGGACGGGUGAGUAACACGUGGAUAACCUACCUAUAAGACUGGGAUAACUUCGGGAAACCGGAGCUAAUACCGGAUAAUAUAUUGAACCGCAUGGUUCAAUAGUGAAAGACGGUUUUGCUGUCACUUAUAGAUGGAUCCGCGCCGCAUUAGCUAGUUGGUAAGGUAACGGCUUACCAAGGCAACGAUGCGUAGCCGACCUGAGAGGGUGAUCGGCCACACUGGAACUGAGACACGGUCCAGACUCCUACGGGGGGCAGCAGUAGGGAAUCUUCCGCAAAGGGCGAAAGCCUGACGGAGCAACGCCGCGUGAGUGAUGAAGGUCUUCGGAUCGUAAAACUCUGUUAUUAGGGAAGAACAAAUGUGUAAGUAACUAUGCACGUCUUGACGGUACCUAAUCAGAAAGCCACGGCUAACUACGUG
rnacentral:rRNA from 1 species